rnacentral:tRNA from 2 species
GGUCCUAUAGUUUAAUAAUUGGAAUAUUAGGGUAUUAACCCGAAGGUCGUAGGUUCGAAUCCUAUUAGGACCA